AUUAGCUGAAAACCCGAUCAUUGACAUUUCUCGUUAACUGAACAAAAACAUUCCAGAACAAUCGCCUUCUCCGGGCACCGGCCCCAAUCUUCGUCUUCGCCAACGCCGCCACCAAAUCGAACCGAGGAACACGAUCUGACCCCGCUCCUCAGCCUCUGGAGCUUUGGACCGAGGCGGCGGCCGGCCAUCGGCAAGGUUAGUUCCUCCCCCCAUUCAUCUCUCCCCACCGAUGAUCCACCACCAAUUAUUAGGUUACAUCCGAUUCGUCUCGCUUUGGACCUCUCUGCCCAUCUGACGCUGCUGAUUUGAUCACGAUCGUGUUGUUUGCUUGCUGCAUUGGCGAUGUUAAUUGACGAGUUCCUGUUCCCAACGGUGUAUUCGACCGGAAACUAAUGUGAUGCAGCUGCGCCUGAUGAAGCGGAGCAUACGAUUCCUCUGCUCGUGUGCUCCGCAAAGUUGCCUGUGGCGGUUUGGAUUGGAAGCGGCAUGGUGGAUGCUGGAGCUGACACACUGAAUGUUGGGGGAAAUUGUGCUUGCAGUCAUCUCUAGUGGAACUUCAGGCUCGAGCUUCUCAUGUUGGGCCCAACAUCUGAAUUCCAUCUACUAUAAAAUUCCGGCCAAUUCGGCCCUCUGAUCUGGAAGUGCUCGAGCAGAUUCAUGUUGAUCUAUUUCCAGUAAGGUAUGAGAGGGAUUUUUUCUUGAGUGUUGUUAAUGACACCAGCGAAUCAGAUAGCCACAGGGAUGAGCUAGUUGGUUUUGUUACCAUGAAGAUAGUCCCUGCAGAAGACAGUGAGAUUGAAGAUCUGUUUAGCUACAACAAUUCACAGAAAGGCCUAACACUUGCAUAUAUUUUAAUGCUUGGUGUGGUAGAUCAUUACAGAAACCUUGGCAUAGGAGGUGAUUAAAUAUGCUACAAGUAUCAUCAAUUGCAGGGGUGUAUAUUUGCAUGUCAUUUCAUACAAUCAACCUGCCACCAGCUUCUAUGAGAAGAUGCUAUUUAAUCUGGUUCAAAGAUUGCCGAUGUUCUACUACAUUAAAGGACAGCAUUACGACUCUUUACUUGUUUGCAUACUAUG